GCAGUAGCACGGUUUCAGCUCACUGCAAGCUCCGCCUCCCGGGUUCACGCCAUUCUCCUGCCUCAGCCUCCCGAGUAGCUGGGACUACAGGCGCCCGCCACCACGCCCGGCUAAUUUUUUGUAUUUUUAAUAGAGACGGGGUUUCACCGUGUUUGCCGGGAUGGUCUUGAUCUCCUGACCUCGUGAUCCGCCCACCUCGGCCUCCCAAAGUGCUGAGAUUACAGGCGUGAGGGCAUUAUUAUUUUAAAAUUCAAAUGGCUAAGGAGUCUUCACUAACCAAUCCUUAAUAUGGUGUCAAACACUUGUUUAAUGGAAAUUUGUGGAUCCCUUACUUUUUCUGUCUUUGCUUUCAUUUCUGAGUAUUGACUACUUAUUGAUUCCCUUUACCGUGAUGGGUAUACUGGUGGGGGACAUUGUUGUUUAAAGGUAUAUGUGACAGAAUUCUGAUCUUUCAAACACUGUCACUAUAAUUUGAGAAGAAGUCAUGUACACCCAAGACAAGCAUUCUACUCCCUUUUCCAUUCCUCCCUUUUCUUCCUUCUUCCUCUCCAACGUGAGCUCCAUUUUUUUCUUUUGAAGAUCUCAAAUAUUGUAAGGUGCAUUUAACAUAUUCAUCUGGUUCAACAUUACUCAUCUAGUUAACAUAGAUUGAACAGAAGAUGUGUUGUUUUUCUUUCAAGGCCAUAUCCAGUAACAGAGCCUAUUGCGUCAUAUUUACUGACAAACCCAGGAUGACAAGAGAAACAUGGGACUCACUCUUCGUUUGCAUUGACUCCAACCAAGAGCUUCAGUGUUCAUGCCUUGCUUCAGAAUUAUUGUGGACUGAUGCAGAACUGAAAAGGUCAACACGAGAAUCUUCAAGGACAAUUGCCUGGGAAUCCUGAGGUCUGGACAGCAACACCUGAAUCUGAAUCUCUUUUGGGUUGAAUCAUAAAAGAAAAUAGUAUGGAGAGAUUUAAGGCCAGGCCUCUGGAGAAGGGUAAUAUGAGCAUGGAUUUUCAUAUUUAAGCUGAUUUCAAAACAUGACAGAUGGAGUGGAGGUGGUUUACAAAAACAUUUCCCCUUUGCAUGUCUUACUUAUUCUGGAAUACUGAAGGGUGAAGUAUGUUGAAACAAAUACUUUCUACCUGGAUUUCUCAUUAAUG
rnacentral:lncRNA from 10 species